UUGUGAAAUCUAGUUUCAGGCUAUUAAAGACAGACUGAUUUAUCUUUAGGAUGAUGUAUCAAGCUGUACUGUGAGAAUGGAGCAUUCAAGGUCAAGAAUACUCUCCUUCCUGCAUAUUGGCAAUUCAAUUUUAAAAGAUUGAAACACAAUGAAAGUGUUUCUAUCAGUUUCUUCUGUGUUCCUUGCAAUAAGGAUAUAUUUAAUUGAAAAAUUCUUCUGGAAGAUAGUUCAUCUCUGAAUAAACUACUCCAGGCCAUCUCGGUACAACUUGGAAAAAGCUUGAAACUGGUAGAAGCCAUCAAUGAAGUCUGAAGAUAGAGACACCGUAGGAGAAGUUUCAACACAACUGACCUGCAUUCCUUCUUAAUAAGAGACCAGCAACUAUGGAGUGAUUCUGGACAGUCUACAGAGGAUCCACAUUAAGUAUCUUCCUGUCUUCUCUUUCACGUUUUUUAGACAGCCAAAAACUCCACCCUUGGACCCAUGAAGAGGCAUGAGGCCCAAUUGUGCCUGUGCACGUUUCUCCUUUUGGAAAUAUUUAUGACAUUCAUGACUCCUUCUAUAGCUCAUUGAAUAUGUAUAUGUAGCUACCCAUUCAGCAUACAUCUGUCUUAUUCUUCUGAGCCUCCUCAAGUGCCUGUUUCUGGCCUCUGCCCAGAGGCUAUGCUUCCCAGGCUGUGAAAAUGGCCACUUGCAGGCUGCAACCCUUUAUAAGAAAUAAAGCUCUGCUUCCCAAAUUUA